UAUGCCAGGGUAAAUUUCUAGCAUUCUUGGAAGCCAGUUGUUCGUUGCUGAAGACUAAAUGGGAAGCAUUUGAAAAUUUGGAUGAUGACUUGGUUACAAAGGUCACUGGUAGAUUAGUUGAGAGUUGACUGUUGAGGGAUGUCGGCCAUUGAUCCUAAGACUAAGAAGAAGACCAUCAUCGAUACCGACCCUGGAAGUGUGCUCUGUGCCAGAUCUUCUUCCCUUAGUGAUCUGGUAAUGAAACCUAAACUGUCUUCCUCAAAGCCAAAGCCAAAGCCCAGGAAUG